rnacentral:rRNA from 1 species
GAGAGCUUGCUCUCAUGAUCAGCGGCGGACGGGUGAGUAACACGUGAGCAACCUGCCUUUCAGAGGGGGACAACAGUUGGAAACGACUGCUAAUACCGCAUAAUAUUGCCGGCCGGCAUCGGCUGGCAAUCAAAGGAGCAAUCCGCUGAAAGAUGGGCUCGCGUCUGAUUAGAUAGUUGGUGAGGUAACGGCCCACCAAGUCGACGAUCAGUAGCCGGACUGAGAGGUUGAUCGGCCACAUUGGGACUGAGACACGGCCCAGACUCCUACGGGAGGCAGCAGUGGGGGAUAUUGGACAAUGGGGGAAACCCUGAUCCAGCGAUGCCGCGUGAGGGAAGAAGGUUUUCGGAUUGUAAACCUCUGUGGACAGGGACGAUAAUGACGGUACCUGUUUAGAAAGCCACGGCUAACUACGUGCCAGCAGCCGCGGUAAUACGUAGGUGGCGAGCGUUGUCCGGAAUUACUGGGUGUAAAGGGAGUGUAGGCGGGAAGGCAAGUCAGAAGUGAAAAUUAUGGGCUUAACCCAUAACCUGCUUUUGAAACUGUUUUUCUUGAGUGAGGCAGAGGCAAGCGGAAUUCCUAGUGUAGCGGUGAAAUGCGUAG